rnacentral:rRNA from 1 species
UACGUAGGGUGCAAGCGUCAAUCGGAAUUACUGGGCGUAAAGCGUGCGCAGGCGGUUUUGUAAGUCAGAUGUGAAAUCCCCGGGCUUAACCUGGGAACUGCGUUUGAAACUACAAGGCUAGAGUGUGGCAGAGGGGGGUGGAAUUCCACGUGUAGCAGUGAAAUGCGUAGAGAUGUGGAGGAACACCGAUGGCGAAGGCAGCCCCCUGGGUUAACACUGACGCUCAGGCACGAAAGCGUGGGGAGCAAACAGG